AAAAAUGAUAAACAAUUUGAUAUAUUACCCCAUAUAUUGUUAUUCAGCUAGUGGAGUUCUAGUGGGACUAACUAUAAUUCUGUGUCCUAAAGUUUCACUCCUGGACUGGGGGAGGACGAUAUUAAUGUCAAUGAUGACAGUCUGUAUAGCAGUGGGUUUUUGUUUCCUUGGACAAAUCAUAGAGAAUGCAUUUUGUAGUCUGAAGAAAAUUUUAACUGCGCUUACAGCACAAGAUGGUAUGCCUGGAACGUCAAAAAUAGAAAACUGCUCCUUUUUUUUCUUCAACAAACGCAGAGAAAAGCAGUUUUUUCGAGUUCUGGAAUAAUAACUAUUAAUUAUCGACUUCUGAUCGGACUUUUUCGAGCUGUUUACUCCAUAGCGAUGGUUUUUAUUAAUGUGUCGGCACAUUAUCACUGAAGAAACGAUACGAAAAAUGUAGACACGACUUCUGAUAUAGACUGGGGAAAUAUUUGAUAUAUAGUGACAGUGAUUUAAAUUAACUCAAAUUUUAUAAUAUGUACU